GCCCGCCUAGCUCAAUCGGCCAGAGCGUCAGACUUUUACGCAAGAGUAUCUGAAGGCUGCGAGUUCGACCCUCGCGGUGGGCU
rfam:Termitomyces sp. J132 unplaced genomic scaffold scaffold166, whole genome shotgun sequence.